CACGUAGGGUGCGAGCGUUGUCCGGAAUUAUUGGGCGUAAAGAGCUCGUAGGCGGUGUGUCGCGUCGGCCGUGAAAACCUGCAGCUUAACUGUGGGCGUGCGGUCGAUACGGGCAUCACUGGAGUUCGGCAGGGGAGACUGGAAUUCCUGGUGUAGCGGUGAAAUGCGCAGAUAUCAGGAAGAACACCCGUGGCGAAGGCGGCUCUCUGGGACGUGACUGACGCUGAGACGCGAAAGCGUGGGGAGCGAACAGG
rnacentral:rRNA from 1 species